UGGGGAAUAUAGNNGCAGGGGGGGGGAACCCUGACGCAGCCAUGCCGCGUGAAUGAAGAAGGCCUUAGGGUUGUAAAGUUCUUUCGGUAUUGAGGAAGGUUGAUGUGUUAAUAGCACAUCAAAUUGACGUUAAAUACAGAAGAAGCACCGGCUAACUCCGUGCCAGCAGCCGCGGUAAUACGGAGGGUGCGAGCGUUAAUCGGAAUAACUGGGCGUAAAGGGCACGCAGGCGGUUAUUUAAGUGAGGUGUGAAAGCCCCGGGCUUAACCUGGGAAUUGCAUUUCAGACUGGGUAACUAGAGUACUUUAGGGAGGGGUAGAAUUCCACGUGUAGCGGUGAAAUGCGUAGAGAUGUGGAGGAAUACCGAAGGCGAAGGCAGCCCCUUGGGAAUGUACUGACGCUCAUGUGCGAAAGCGUGGGGAGCAAACAGGAUUAGAUACCCUGGUAGUCCACGCUGUAAACGCUGUCGAUUUGGGGGUUGGGGUUUAACUCUGGCGCCCGUAGCUAACGUGAUAAAUCGACCGCCUGGGGGAGUACGGGCCGCAAGGGUAA
rnacentral:rRNA from 1 species